UUUUUUUUUUUUUAAAGAGACUAGGUUUCACCAUGUUGCCCAGGCUGGUCUUGAACUCCUGAGCUCAGGUGAUGCAUCCACCUCAGCAUCUCAAAGCACUGGGAUUAUAGGCAUGAUCAGUACUUUCUAAUAAGCAGAACCAUUGUAGUCAGACUGCCCCGCCCCCUCCCCUGCCAGCAGCGUCUGGCUCAGAGGAGGGUCUGGGGCUCUUUGGGGGCUGCAGCCAUCUGGAAGCUCCACUGGAGCCGAUUGGUCUCAGUUGCCCCACUCGUGCUGCCCUAGUCUCCUCGUGCCUCACGUGCUGUCGGUGGUGCCCUUGCGCCCUCCUCACAGGGACUUUCCGGUGGAGGACGUUUUCACCCUGCCUGUGUACUUCUCGUCUGACUGGCUGAAUGAGUUCUGGGAUGCACUGGAUGUGGAUGACUACCGCUUUGUCUACGCGGGGCCUGCGGGCAGCUGGUGAGGCCACGGAUGUGGGAGUGGAACCCAAAGGGGCCUGGUGACAGAGCGGACUGGGAGGCUCAGGGUGGCAGGAGGGGGGCUGCUUGGCACAGGCCUCACAGUGGGUGCCAUCCCUUGAGACCAAGGGGCCACCCCUCCUUCAGUUGGACCAGGCCUCUGGGGUGCCAAGCAAAGCCCAUACCAGCCCCUACAGGCAUGAACCAGGCGCUCUUGCUGCUGCAGGUCCCCGUUCCAUGCUGACAUCUUCCGCUCCUUCAGCUGGUCUGUCAAUGUCUGUGGGAGGAAGAAGUGGCUCCUCUUCCCCCCAGGGCAGGAAGAGGCCCUGCGGGACCGCCACGGCAACCUGCCCUACGACGUGACCUCCCCAGCACUCUGCGACACACACCUGCACCCACGGAGCCAGCUUGCUGGCCCACCCUUGGAGAUCACGCAGGAAGCGGGCGAGAUGGUGUUUGUGCCCAGUGGCUGGCACCACCAGGUGCACAACCUGGUAAUGUGCUGCUUCUCCUGCCCCCUAUCAGGGGCCUUCCUGCAGGAAGACGGCAGCACCACCUCCCCACUCUCCCAGCCACAGCGGGGCUGGAAUGGGGUGGCUCAUGGGUGAGGCUGACCCCUUCACAAGGUGGUGUCGCUGAGGCCUAGCCUCUGUUUCACCCACUGCCGGGUUCACUGUGAACCCACUCUGGGUUCACUGUGGCCUGAGGUGGUCCGAGCCCGCCACCCACUUCCCUGCUGAGCAAGCCCUGCUGGGAGACAGGAGGGCCCUCUUGGCUGCAGAGGGCUGGACCCCACAGUGGGUUCCUGGCGCAGGAGAUGUGGGCUGGUCAGGGGGCACCUGCCAUGGGCUCAGGCCUGCCUGCACUGUGCCCCUUCCAGGAUGACACCAUCUCCAUCAACCACAACUGGGUCAAUGGCUUCAACCUGGCCAACAUGUGGCGCUUCUUGCAGCAGGAGCUAUGCGCCGUGCAGGAGGAGGUCAGCGAGUGGAGGGACUCCAUGCCCGACUGGCACCACCACUGCCAGGUCAUCAUGAGGUCCUGCUCGGGCAUCAACUUUGAAGAGUUUUACCACUUCCUCAAGGUCAUCGCUGAGAAGAGGCUCCUGGUCCCGAGGGAGGCAGCCGCUGAGGACGGUGCUGGGUUGGGUUUCGAACAGGCAGCCUUUGAUGUUGGGCGCAUCACAGAGGUGCUGGCCUCCUUGGUUGCGCACCCUGACUUCCAGAGAGUGGACACCAGCGCGUUCUCACCACAGCCCAAAGAGCUGCUGCAGCAGCUGAGAGAGGCUGUUGAUGCUGCUGCGGCCCCAUAGCACCUGUCGUGAGGAUAGAAGGACGAGUGGACGAGAGGCAGCCUCCUGCUCCAGGGCCCUUCCAGAAAUAAAGACCGCCCUCCCUGUGACCUGGGGCCCACCCCUAUUGAGGCUUGUGGCCUGGCUGUUCAUGGCCACUGCCUGGGUGCCUGUUUUCAGGUGAGGCCCAAUGAGGUCAGGGACCCAAGAUGGGAUGUGGCCCUUCUGACCUGCAGCAGGCCUGCUGGGAGCUCGGAGAUGGUGCCAGGACCUGGCUCUUUUGGGGGCCCUGCCUCCUUAGGCCAGGACGCCUGAGCUGACAGGAGUCUGUGUCUGGUGUGCCUUCUCUGGAGGCUCCUCUUAAUAGGCCAGCCCUGUCCCCUCGUCUCAGGCCAUUGGGCCACCCCUGGCUCUGCCCUGUGGGUUCAGGGAGGGGUUGGAGCAGUGCUGGGCAAGCUCACCAGGGCCUCCAGGCACGGCUGGGGUUGGCCUCCAUCACCUCCAGGUGAUGGGCUGUGGAACCAGCGGCCUGCGCCUUCCUCUGGGUACCCAGAGUGGAGGGCUGGGUUGGGCUGGCCUUUGCCACCUCCCUGCCUUUGCAGGGCCUGUGGACAGCUGGAGAGGCCACAGAUGGGGUGGAAUCCCAUCUGCUGCUGAAUCCUCACCUGGGCCUGAGGGACUGUGCCUGCUGUGCACUCACAGCUGGGUCUUCCCAAGGAUGCUGUUCUCAGGAGUGGUGGGUCCCCAGCCCCUCUUCACACUGGGUAUGAUGGAGGUGUGGGCGGGCUCGUCCAGGCCGAUCAAGGCACAGCAGUGAGCAGCUGAGGCCUGUGGUGGGGAAUGGACUCUCGUGGGAUCCUCUUGCAGAGGAUGCCCCAGGCCUGAACCCUCUAGUGGAUCCACAGUUUGUGGAGACUGGCACUUUCCCAGCCCUGUCCUUGACCGAGAGUCCAGCAUUUUUUCAGUUGGCCCCUGGUUGGCUGCCUCACCCCAGCAGGGGAGGAGGCAUCCGAAUCCACAGGGACGGCAUGUGCCAUGGCUAUGCACAUUGCCUGCCCGUGGCAUCAACUGGGGCCGCUGGCACUUGUCUAGGAUGGAAGCCCCCAAGAAGGGCAGGGGUUUCUGUCUGCUCUGUUCAGUGAAUUAUGUGAAGUGCUUGCAAAGGCAGCUUUACACAGUAGGUGCUUCAUAUGUGUCUGUCGAAUGAAUGCGCUCCAGCCAACAGCUUUCCAGGGACCUGUAUGCUGGGCCCCCCUGCUAGCUCCCGGGGACCCCUGGUCUGUAUGGGAAUGCCCUGAGACAUCCGGCCUCCUAUAGAUGGAGCUGGCGCUGCCCAAACCACGGGCAGCAAAGGUGCUUUGUGGGGGAGGAGGGGGAGGUAGCAAACAUGCACGGCUGCAGCCUUGCCAGGACCAGGCCCAGGCUGAGUGUGGGCGUGGCUCACCCAUUUAGCCCCUCCGGUAACCUCUGAGCUUGGGCCUCUUGGCACCCUGCCACACAGGCACACCUGAGGCCAAGAGUGGGGGUAUGUGCCUCGGACACUGCCAGCAGGCAGCUGAGGUGACCUGUCCUUCAGCUUCUGUCAUGAUGAGGGCAGCACUGUGGACCCCAGGGCAGCCAGGGCCCAGUGUGAACUGGCAGCACAAGGUAGCACAGGUCGCAGCCCAUUACCAUCCAGGCUGCUUGGUCCUGCGCUCCUGAACUGUAUGUGAAGACCCUCAUGCUUCCGCAGUCAGGAGGCACAGACACUCCCGAGAGCCCUGCUAGCCUCAGUCACUUUUUCUUGGUUAAAGCAGGCAUUGAGAAUCUCAGGCUGGGGCUGUUACAGAUGCAGCAAAAACAGCAAAUGCCAGAAGCUCUGUUGGGGGGAGAUAGAGUCCUCCACAGGGCAACGGCUGAACUGCAGCCAGCAUCGAUGACUCCAUAGUCAACGACCAUGACUCCUUUUGCAUACCUCACUCCAGAUUGGCAAAAAAAAAAAAAAAAA
rnacentral:sRNA from 1 species